ACUCAAAUGAAUUGACGGGGGCUCGCACAAGUGGUGGAGCAUGUGGUUUAAUUCGACGCUAAGCGAGGAACCUUACCAGGACUUGACAUCUCCGGAACCCUGCAGAAAUGCGGGGGUGCCUUCGGGAGCCGGAUGACAGGUGAUGCACGGUCGUCGUCAGCUCGUGUCGUGAGAUGUUCCGUUCAGUCGGCAAACGAGCGCAACCCCUACCCUGUGUUGCAUUCUCACGGGGAACAGCCCCGAUUUUAUCGGGGAGGAAGGUGGGGAUGACGUCAGAUCAGCGUGUCUCUUACGUCCUGGGCGACACACGUGCUACAAUGGCAGCUAACAACGGGUAGCAAUACCGCAAGGUGGAGCUAAUCCCCAAACGCUGCCUCAGUUCGGAUUGCGGGCUGCAACUCGCCCGCAUGAAGUUGGAAUCACUAGUAAACGCGUAUCAGCCAUGACGCGUUGAAUACGUUCUCGAGCCUUGUACACACCGCCCGU
rnacentral:rRNA from 1 species